CAAUAGCGUAUAUUAAAGUUGUUGCAGUUAAAAAGCUCGUAGUUGGAUUUCUGGUUGAAGCGACCGGUCGGGCGUUGAUUCGUCUGCACUGGAGUCGGUUUUGGCCAUCCUCUAGGAAAGUGCGUCUGGUAUUAAGUUAUCGGGCGUAUGAUCCUGGUCUUCUACUGUGAAAAAAUUAGAGUGUUUAAAGCAGGCCUUCGCCUUGAAUACAUUAGCAUGGAAUAAUAAGAUAGGACUUUGGUCUAUUUUGUUGGUUUGCAGACCGAAGUAAUGAUUAAUAGGGAUAGUUGGGGGUAUUUAUAUUCCGAUGUCAGAGGUGAAAUUCUUAGAUUUUCGGAAGAUAAACUUAUGCGAAAGCAUUUACCAAGGAUGUUUUCAUUAA
rnacentral:rRNA from 1 species